GGGGAGAUAGCUCAGUUGGUAGAGUGCUUGCCUAGUAUGCAUAAGGCCCUGGGUUCAAUCCCCAGCACCACCA
rnacentral:tRNA from 1 species